ACCUUUCUGGUCCGGUACUGACACUGAGGGCGCGGACAGCGGUGGGGGAGCAAACAGGAUAGGAUCCUGGUAGUCACGCCGUAAACGAUGAGUGCUAAGUGUUAGAGGGUUUCCGCCCUUUAGUGCUGAAGUUAACGCAUUAAGCACUCGCUGGGGAGUACGGCCGCAAGGCUGAACUCAAAGGAAUUGACGGGGGCCCGCACAAGCGGUGGAGCAUGUGGUUAAUUCGAAGCAACGCGAAGAACCUUACCAGGUCUUGACAUCCUCUGAAAACCCUAGAGAUAGGGCUUCUCCUUCGGGAGCAGAGUGACAGGUGGUGCAUGGUUGUCGUCAGCUCGUGUCGUGAGAUGUUGGGUUAAGUCCCGCAACGAGCGCAACCCUUGAUCUUAGUUGCCAUCAUUAAGUUGGGCACUCUAAGGUGACUGCCGGUGACAAACCGGAGGAAGGUGGGGAUGACGUCAAAUCAUCAUGCCCCUUAUGACCUGGGCUACACACGUGCUACAAUGGACGGUACAAAGAGCUGCAAGACCGCGAGGUGGAGCUAAUCUCAUAAAACCGUUCUCAGUUCGGAUUGUAGGCUGCAACUCGCCUACAUGAAGCUGGAAUCGCUAGUAAUCGCGGAUCAGCAUGCCGCGGUGAAUACGUUCCCGGGCCUUGUACACACCGCCCGUCACACCACGAGAGUUUGUAACACCCGAAGUCGGUGGGGUAACCUUUUGGAGCCAGC
rnacentral:rRNA from 1 species